AAGUUGCCCGUGUUUUUUUCG
rnacentral:miRNA from 1 species